AUUUAUAUAGUAUAAUUAUUAUUUUUAACUUCCAAUUAAAAGAUCUAAUACUUUAGUAUAAAUA
rnacentral:tRNA from 1 species